rnacentral:lncRNA from 1 species
AGCCGACUCACCACGGCCCAGGCGUUCUGGAUCCAGGGUGCGAACAGCCACAGUUUUGUUCAUUCUGAUUCCUUCCGGCUACGCAGUGUUAGAGGUGGGGGGAGUCGUUGGAUGAAUAAAAGAACAGACAGACACACAGAUGGUCAGCAGGGCACUGUCCUUAGGAUCACCCUAGCAUUGCCGGGCGCGGUGGCUCGUGCCUGUGAUCCUAGCACUUUGGGAGGCCGAGGUGGGUGGAUCACGAGGUCAGAAGAUCGAGACCAUCCUGGCUAACACAGUGAAACCCUGUCUCUACUAAAAAUACAAAAAAAUUAGCCGG